UGGGGAAUAUUGCACAAUGGGGGAAACCCUGAUGCAGCGACGCCGCGUGAACGAAGAAGGUAUUCGUAUCGUAAAGUUCUGUCCUAUGGGAAGAUAAUGACAGUACCAUAGAAGAAAGCUCCGGCUAAAUACGUGCCAGCAGCCGCGGUAAUACGUAUGGAGCGAGCGUUGUCCGGAAUUAUUGGGCGUAAAGGGUACGCAGGCGGUUUAAUAAGUCGAAUGUUAAAGAUCGGGGCUCAACCCCGUAAAGCAUUGGAAACUGAUGAACUUGAGUAGUGGAGAGGAAAGUGGAGUUCCUAGGGUAGUGGUGAAAUACGUAGAUGUUAGGAGGAAUACCAGUAGCGAAGGCGACUUUCUGGACACAAACUGACGCUGAGGUACGAAAGCGUGGGGAGCAAACAGG
rnacentral:rRNA from 1 species